rnacentral:rRNA from 1 species
AUUGAACGCUGGCGGCGUGCCUAACACAUGCAAGUCGAGCGGUAACAGGUGUAGCAAUACAUGCUGACGAGCGGCGGACGGGUGAGUAACGCUUGGGAAUCUGCCUGAUAGUGGGGGACAACCCGGGGAAACUCGGGCUAAUACUGCAUACGCACUACGGUGGAAAGCCGGGGACCGCAAGGCCUGGCGCUAACAGAUGAGCCCAAGUCGGAUUAGCUAGUUGGUAGGGUAACGGCCUACCAAGGCGACGAUCCGUAACUGGUCUGAGAGGACGACCAGUCACACCGGAACUGAGACACGGUCCGGACUCCUACGGGAGGCAGCAGUGGGGAAUAUUGGACAAUGGGCGAAAGCCUGAUCCAGCGACGCCGCGUGGGUGAAGAAGGCCUGCGGGUUGUAAAGCCCUUUCGGUGGGGAAGAAAAGCCUCGAGCUAAUACCUCGGGGUCUUGACGUAACCCAUAGAAGAAGCACCGGCUAACUCUGUGCCAGCCGCCGCCGUAAGAC